UACGAAGGGGGCUAGCGUUGCCCGGAAUCACUGGGCGUAAAGGGCGCGUAGGCGGGUCUUUAAGUCAGGGGUGAAAUCCUGGAGCUCAACUCCAGAACUGCCUUUGAUACUGAGGAUCUUGAGUACGGGAGAGGUGAGUGGAACUGCGAGUGUAGAGGUGAAAUUCGUAGAUAUUCGCAAGAACACCAGUGGCGAAGGCGGCUCACUGGCCCGUAACUGACGCUGAGGCACGAAAGCGUGGGGAGCAAACAGG
rnacentral:rRNA from 1 species